rnacentral:rRNA from 1 species
GGAUAGUGGCAAACGGGUGAGUAACACGUGGGUAAUUUGCCUCCAAAACUGGGACAACUUCUCGAAAGGGAAGCUAAUACCGGAUAAGCUCCAGAUGACGCAUGUUAUCGGGAGAAAAGAAGGCAUAUUUUGACCUCAAGUCAAGAGCUUUCGUUUGGAGAUAAGCCCGCGGCCUAUCAGCUUGUUGGUGAGGUAAUGGCUCACCAAGGCUUUUGACGGGUAGCUGGUCUGAGAGGAUGGUCAGCCACACUGGGACUGAGACACUGCCCAGACUCCUACGGGAGGCUGCAGUCGAGAAUCUUUUGCAAUGGGCGAAAGCCUGACAAUGCGACGCCGCGUGAGCGAUGAGGGCCUUCGGGUUGUAAAGCUCUGUCACAUAGGAUGAAUGCCGAGGGAUAAAUAGUCCUGAGGUUUGACAGUACUAUGAGAGGAAGCCACGGCUAACUCCGUGCCAGCAGCCGCGGUAAUACGGAGGUGGCAAGCGUUGUUCGGAUUUAUUGGGUGUAAAGGGCAUGUAGGCGGUUUUGUAAGUCAGAUGUGAAAUCCCUGGGCUUAACCGAGGAACUGCAUCUGAAACUGCAUAACUUGAGUACGGUAGAGGAGAGUGGAACUCCCGGUGUAAGGGUGAAAUCUGUAGAUAUCGGGAGGAACACCAGUGGCGAAGGCGACUCUCUGGCCCGAGACUGACGCUGAAAUGCGAAAGCUAGGGGAGCAAACAGGAUUAGAUACCCUGGUAGUCCUAGCCGUAAACGAUGGGCACUAGGUGUAGGGGGUUUAAUACCUUCUGUGCCGCAGUCAACACAUUAAGUGCCCCACCUGGGGAGUACGGCCGCAAGGUUGAAACUCAAAGGAAUUGACGGGGGCCCGCACAAGCGGUGGAGCAUGUGGUUUAAUUCGACGCUACGCGAAGAACCUUACCAGGGUUUGACAUGUAAGUGGUAGUGAACCGAAAGGGGAACGACCUCGCAAGAGGAGCUUACACAGGUGUUGCAUGGCUGUCGUCAGCUCGUGUCGUGAGAUGUUGGGUUAAGUCCCACAACGAGCGCAACCAUCGUCCUUAGUUGCUACUCUGCACUCAGCUUGCUGGGUAUGGGGGCACUCUAAGGAGACUGCCUCCGUAAGGGGGAGGAAGGUGGAGAUGACGUCAAGUCAGUAUGGCCCUUACGCCCUGGGCUACACACGUGCUACAAUGGCCUGUACAAAGGGUUGCUAAACCGUGAGGUGGAGCCAAUCCUCAAAGCAGGUCUCAGUUCAGAUUGAAGGCUGCAAUUCGCCUUCAUGAAGGCGGAAUCGCUAGUAACGGCAGAUCAGCA